rnacentral:rRNA from 1 species
UACGUAGGGUCCGAGCGUUGUCCGGAGUUACUGGGCGUAAAGCGCGCGCAGGCGGCUGGGCUGGCCCGGCGUGAAAGCCCCCGGCUCAACCGGGGAGGGUCGUCGGGGACCGCACCGCUUGAGGGCGGUAGGGGCUGGUGGAAUGCCUGGUGUAGUGGUGAAAUGCGUAGAGAUCAGGCGGAACACCCGUGGCGAAGGCGGCCAGCUGGGCCGUCCCUGACGCUGAGGCGCGAAGGCGUGGGGAGCGAACGGG